CCUACGGGUGGCAGCAGUGGGGAAUAUUGGACAAUGGGCGAAAGCCUGAUCCAGCCAUGCCGCGUGUGUGAAGAAGGCCUUCGGGUUGUAAAGCACUUUCAGUGGGGAAGAAAGCCUUGGGGCUAAUACCCUCGAGGAAGGACAUCACCCACGGAAGAAGCACCGGCUAACUCCGUGCCAGCAGCCGCGGUAAUACGGAGGGUGCGAGCGUUAAUCGGAAUUACUGGGCGUAAAGCGCGCGUAGGCGGUCUGAUAAGCCGGUUGUGAAAGCCCCGGGCUCAACCUGGGAACGGCAUCCGGAACUGUCAGGCUAGAGUGCAGGAGAGGAAGGUAGAAUUCCCGGUGUAGCGGUGAAAUGCGUAGAGAUCGGGAGGAAUACCAGUGGCGAAGGCGGCCUUCUGGACUGACACUGACGCUGAGGUGCGAAAGCGUGGGUAGCAAACAGGAUUAGAUACCCCAGUAGUC
rnacentral:rRNA from 1 species